rnacentral:rRNA from 1 species
UACAGAGGUGGCAAGCGUUGUUCGGAAUUACUGGGCGUAAAGGGCGCGUAGGCGGCCUUCUAAGUCAGACGUGAAAUCCCCCGGCUUAACCUGGGAACUGCGUCUGAUACUGGGAGGCUUGAGUAUGGGAGAGGGAUGUAGAAUUCCAGGUGUAGCGGUGAAAUGCGUAGAUAUCUGGAGGAAUACCGGUGGCGAAGGCGGCAUCCUGGACCAUAACUGACGCGUGAGGCGGCGAAAAGCUAGGGGAGCAAACGGG